AGCUCCAUUAGCGUAUAUUAAAGUUGUUGCAGUUAAAAAGCUCGUAGUUGGAUUUCUGGUAGGAGCGACCAUACCGAGCUUGAUUGUUCGUGUAAUGUGUUGUCUCCAGCCAUCCUCGUGGAGAGUGUUUCUGGCAUUAAUUUGUUGGAGGCAGGACCCGCGUCGUUUACUGUGAAAAAAUUAGAGUGUUCAAAGCAGGCUUUUCAAGCCCGGAUACAUGAGCAUGGAAUAAUGGAAUAGGACCGCGGUUCUAUUUUGUUGGUUUCUACGACCGCAGUAAUGAUUAAGAGGGACAAUUGGGGGCGUCCGUAUUUCGUUGUCAGAGGUGAAAUUCUUGGAUUUACGAAAGACGAACAACUGCGAAAGCAUUCGCCAAGAGUGUUUUCAUUAAUCAAGAACG
rnacentral:rRNA from 1 species